rnacentral:rRNA from 1 species
GAUGAACGCUGGCGGCGUGCCUAAUACAUGCAAGUCGAGCGAACAGACGAGGAGCUUGCUCCUCUGACGUUAGCGGCGGACGGGUGAGUAACACGUGGAUAACCGACCUAUAAGACUGGGAUAACUUCGGGAAACCGGAGCUAAUACCGGAUAAUAUAUUGAACCGCAUGGUUCAAUAGUGAAAGACGGUUUUGCUGUCACUUAUAGAUGGAUCCGCGCCGCAUUAGCUAGUUGGUAAGGUAACGGCUUACCAAGGCGACGAUGCGUAGCCGACCUGAGAGGGUGAUCGGCCACACUGGAACUGAGACACGGUCCAGACUCCUACGGGAGGCAACAGUAGGGAAUCUUCCGCAAUGGGCGAAAGCCUGACGGAGCAACGCCGCGUUAGUGAUGAAGGUCUUCGGAUCGUAAAACUCUGUUAUUAGGGAAGAACAAAUGUGUAAGUAACUAUGCACGUCUUGACGGUACCUAAUCAGAAAACCACGGCUAACUACGUG